GCCCACUGGCAGAGGAGGGGCCGGGGGAGGCCCGGCAAAGUUUCCCAACAUCCUCACAAAGAAGCUCAGGGUAUACGAUUUCCCGUCAGCAGGAAAGCAUGUGCCGUCUUAGAAAGAAAGAGGAAUUACAACGCCCCAAAGGGUCAAGGCGAGCCUAUGCCUCCGCCAUGUGUGUCCCUCCCCGCGGCCGGGACAGCGAGUCCGGGCAACGGCGGAGUUUACUGAAGUUUACUCCGAACCCGUCCCCGAGCCCUGGGCGGCCGAGCAAACAGCGCGCGACGUCCUCUCCCUCCUAUUACCAGACUCAGAGGUUGUGGUGGAGAAUUCCCCUGCGUGUGGACUGAAAAACUCCCAGAUGGAACAUGAUGGCCUGGCCCAGCACUGUCAGGGCCGGGGACCAAACAGGGACAGACCUGCGUUUGAAUCUUGGCUGGCUGCUCUGCCACUCCAUAGCAGGGUGGCCUUUCAGAGCUGAGGGGCAUUGGUGGCCUGGGAAGUCCCUGCAUGACUGGCCCCUCAAGGCCUCUGUCGUGGGCUAAUGUUCGGAAAAGAUUCUUAGAAACAGGGAUUGCUUGGACAAAGGCCAUGUGAUUUAUUUGGAUCACUUCUGCCUGAGGCUUCCAGACAUUGUAGAGUUUGUAAAAGCUUCACUUAGGCAAUUAAAAACUUGAAGCGGA